AUGGCUCGUCCUACUCAGCUUCUUCCCCUCUUCAUACUGAUACAACUCUACUCAGUAGCUGCAUCGAAUUAUCAUGCCCAUGGCGAUGGCCAUGGUAAUGCCACAGCUUCUUCUUACUGUCAUCCAGACCAGGCUGCAGCACUUCUCGAACUAAAGCAGUCCUUCAUCUUCGACUACUCCACCACCACCCUGUCGUCUUGGCAACCUAGCACCGACUGCUGCCUUUGGGAGGGUGUAGGCUGUGAUGAUGACAUAUCAAGCAGUGGCGGCAGUGUCACUGUUCUUGACCUUGGUGGUCGUGGCCUCUACAGCUACGGUUGCCAUGCCGCACUCUUCAACCUCACCUCCCUGCGCUACCUCGACCUCAGCAUGAACGAUUUUGGCGGAUCUCGCAUUCCAGCAGUUGGCUUUGAGAGGUUAUCCAAGCUCACACACCUCAACCUUUCUCAUUCAGGUUUUUACGGUCAGAUACCGAUCGCUAUCGGCAAAAUCUCGAGUCUUAUAUCAUUGGACCUUUCUGUAGUUCGAGAUAUUAAUCCAUCAGAUGAAAUUACAUAUACCCUUGCUCUCGUAGAGGACCACUAUCUUCUGCUACAUGAGCCUAGCUUUGAGAACUUAGUGAGAAAUCUUACCAAUCUGAGGGAACUCUAUGUUGAUGGAGUGGACAUUUCAAGUAGCGGCGAACAGUGGUGCAGUGGUCUAGGUAAAGCUGUCCCCAGUCUUCGUAUUCUUAGCAUGGCAUACUGCAGACUUCGUGGUCCAAUCCACUCCUCCUUGUCAAAUGUUCGACUCCUUACCGUGAUCAACCUAAAUUUUAAUGAUAUUUAUGGUGCCGUUCCUGAAUUCUUUGCGGACUUUCUCAAUUUAAGCCUUCUUCAACUCCGUUUCAACAAUUUCAGUGGUUUGUUUCCUCAGAAAAUAUUUCAACUCAAGAAUAUAAGAGUGCUUGAUGUAUCAGGCAACGGUGAACUCUCAGGGCAUUUACCAGGAUUUCCAAAUGGGACUUCUUUGGAGACUUUGAAUUUGUAUUAUACCAAUUUCUCUGCUAUUAGGCUGAGCUCUUUAAGCAACCUCCAGUCUCUGAGGGAGCUAGGUAUUAAUGGAAGGUCAAUUUCUAUAGAGCCAACUGAUUUAUUGUUCAACAAGUUCAACUCCUUGCAAAAUUUACAGCUCUCUUUUUCUCAAUUUCCGGGAGAGUUAGGACCAUUUUUCUCAUGGAUUAGUAGCCUUGAGAACUUGGCAAGCUUGCAACUCUCUAACUGCUAUUCCUCCAUGAUAAUGCCCCCUAUGAUUGGUAACCUCACCAACUUGACAAGUUUGGAAAUAACUUAUUGUGGCUUUAUUGGGCAAAUACCACCAUCAAUUGGCAACCUCAAGAAGUUGACUUCCUUGAGAAUCUAUGCUUGUGACUUCUCUGGGACAAUACCAUCUUCAAUUGGCAAUCUCAAGAACCUAAGAAUCUUAGAAAUAUCUCAUAGUGGCUUGUCUGGUCCAAUAACAACGGAUAUUGGACAUCUCAGCAACGUGAUGGUAUUAAUUUUGGUGGGCUGCAGGUUUUCUGGCAUAAUACCUAGUACAAUUGCCAACUUGACUCAACUCAUUUUGGUGGAUCUUUCAUACAAUUUCCUUGAAGGUAAGAUUCCAAUAUCUCUAUUCACGUCUCCAAAAAUGUUAUGGUUGGAUCUUCGGUCAAACCAAUUUUCUAGACCAAUACAAGAGUUUGAUACAACAUAUUCACAAUUGGGAGCCAUUCAUUUGAAUGAAAAUCAAAUUACUGGACAGAUUCCAACAUCAUUAUUUCAGCUCAAACAUUUGGUGGCCCUGGAUCUUAGCUCAAACAACUUAACAGGUUCUGUACAAUUGAGUUCACUAUGGAAGUUAAGAAAGCUGGAUAACUUGCACCUCUCGGACAACAGAUUGUCCGUCUUGGAGGGAGAAAGUAGUAAAUCCAUGGUACCCAUACUCCCUAAACUCUCAGUAGUAUCACUAGCAUCUUGCAACAUGACAACAAUUCCAGGACUCUUGAUGCAUGUUAAUCACAUCGAAUCAUUGGACCUUUCAAACAACAAAAUUCAUGGGACUAUACCCCAAUGGAUAUGGGAGAAAUGGGAUGAUAGCCUUACACACAUAAAUCUUUCAAACAACAUAUUCACACAUAUGCAACUCACUUCAUUUGUUCUCCCAUGCAAUCAUUUGGAAUCCCUUGAUCUCAGUUCCAAUAGACUUCAAGGCCAGAUCCCAAUGCCAAACCUAUUUUCAGUAGUUGGCAAUUUCUUUCAAGUCCUGGAUUAUUCCAACAAUAGAUUCUCUUCUCUCAUGACAAACUUCACUCGUCAUCUUAGCAAAACUCAUUACCUCAAAUUGUCCCGGAAUAACCUAAGUGGGCCUGUACCGCAUUCAAUUUGCAACUCAAGCAAACUAGAAGUCCUUGACCUGUCAUAUAACAACUUCAGUGGGUUGAUACCAUCUUGUUUGAUAGAAGACACCCACAUGAGUAUAUUAAAUCUGAGAGAGAAUCACUUUCAAGGAACAUUUCCGUAUAAUGUUAGUGAGCAAUGCAAUCUCCAGAGAAUAGAUUUGCACGGUAAUAAGAUUAAGGGGCAGCUGCCUAGAUCUCUUUCCAACUGUGCUGACCUGGAGGUCCUUGACAUUGGAAACAAUCAGAUUGUUGAUACUUUCCCAUCUUGGCUGAGUAGGCUUUCCAAUCUCCGUGUCCUUGUUUUGGGAUCCAACCAGUUCUAUGGCUCGCUUGUUUAUCCACCCAGAGAUAGCAAAUUCAGGAAAUACUUCUCAAAGUUACAAAUCAUUGACAUAGCCUCAAACAACUUCUCUGGAAAUUUGGAUCCACGAUGGUUUGAGAGAUUGACAUCAAUGAUGGCGAAGUUCAAUGGCACUGGAAAUAGUUUAGGUACUCCAAUUGCAUACAGAGGUGUAUACUACCAUGAUACUGUUGCACUCAUGUACAAAGGGCAAUACGUGGAAUUCAGUAAAAUCUUGACUACCUUAACCGCAAUUGAUAUCUCAAAUAAUGUAUUCGAUGGUGAGAUUCCUAAAUCAGCUGGAAGGCUAAUUUCGCUGCAUGUAUUGAACAUGUCACGUAAUGCAUUUACGGGGAGGAUUCCACCACAAAUUGGUGAGAUGCGUCAAUUGGAGUCACUAGACUUGUCAUGGAACAAGCUUUCUGGGGAGAUUCCACAAGAGCUGACAGAUUUAACAUUUCUUGGCACCUUGAACUUGUGUGGAAACAGGCUGGAUGGAAGAAUACCAGAAUCACGCCAAUUUGCAACAUUUGAGAACACUUCAUAUGAAGGGAAUGCAGGGCUCUGUGGACCGCCUUUAUCCAAAGAAUGUGGCAUUUCAAGUAAUCCAAAUGAGGCACAAGUGAACACAUCCGGAGAUCAUGCUGAUAUUAUUUUGUUUCUCUUCGUUGGUCUGGGCUUUGGUGUUGGCUUCACCGUAGGAAUUCUAGUGAAAUGGGGCAAAUGGUUUCGGAUUGUGUGA
rnacentral:rRNA from 1 species